UAUAUAUAUAUAUUUUUUUUUUAAUUCUAAUAUUCUGGCAAGAAAAAUGCAGAUUUUCUCUGAAAUGCCACUAUAGUCACAGUUUGCCUAUUUUAGUCUGUUGGCAAAUUCAGUUUUUAUUUCACAACAGUUCGUUGUUAAGUGAAUGAAUGGUUUAGAAUCUAAAAUAAUAAAACAAUUUGUCACACUCCUGUAACAUUUUUAACUAUUCUUUGCAUACUUACACAGGUAUUUUUUCAAGCAGUGAUUUUUUUUAUCACUCUCUAGCAUGAAAACCAGGUGGUAAAUAGCAUUUACCAGUCCCUGUCAGUCUCUGGUGUAGUUGUUAACAUUUUUUGGCAGUUGCUACUUACCAGUUGCUUAACAUUUUUUAAUUUUGCAUCAUGAAAACAGCCAGUAGUUGAUGUCUUAGUGAUGAGUAACUUGUUGAAUUUGUGGAUGGUUCCCUACAGUUCUUCAUCAGCUGUUCACAAUCAAAUUAACCUUUAAAGUUAUAAAAUGAUAUAAGAAAUAUAUAACAAGUACUAAGUGUGAGUGAAAAUAUAAUAAUAUAUAUGCAAAUAAAAAGAUCUACAGAAAUGCAGUAUGAAUAAAUAGUGUUUUUAAAGAAACGAUGAGCAACAGAAAAUAUUCAGUCAAGCAAUGAGUUUCAAAUUGGCCUUCUCAUCCCUUACUAAUUCUCACUACUUUUCCACGGGAAUGUUUUCUCCAAUGCGACACAGACUACAACCAUUUUUUGUAGAAUUUGUUUUCAUGGUUGAAUUGUGUACUUUGGCAUCACAUGACUCUGAGAAAGACUGAGGGACAAUAGGUAGUAUUUGGCAAAGUACAGUUACGUACAAUGCUCAGUCUAUGGAUCUUCUACUUUGUAUUUUUAUUUGUUACUGACUUGCCCAGUUUCUUCAGAUUUUAUAAAGAGGUCCAUUUUAAGGUAAGGGUCAAACAAUAUAUUCGCUGCUUUUAUAAAAUACAUUUCUUUUUUGUUAGUUUUUAUGCAAAUGUUUCUGUGUGUUUACCGUAAUGUUUUACUUUUACUUUUUUUAUUUUUCUGGUCCACAACACUGGUCCAAUUUAAUCAAUAUAAUUUAAAUUUGAGUGGCCUACAAUUUUUACACAGUGCUGCAAAUGUAACCUACACGUUGAUGGCAGAUAAAAGCCCAGUGGCCCAUCUAGUAUGCACAUAUGCACUCUUCAGGAGAGACAUGUUUAAUGUGUCUUACCCUCUCUUUCAAUUAAAUGCUUGUCACUCGUUCUAUGUUUUAUAUGAAUGUGGCAAUUUUACAUAAAUGGUUGAUAAGUAUUGUUCUUUUUAAUGUGGCACCAAUUUCCCAGUGCGGCAGCCCUGGCAAUAUAUAUAUAUAUAUAUUUGUUCAUUAUGCUUCUUUUUUUCCAUGACAAACAUUUAAAACACACAAUUAUGUGUUGCCUGAUCACGGGGACAGAAGUAUAGGCCAGUUUCUUAUGUGUUUUUUUUUUUCACUAACUGCUAAAGUGGGUAGAUGGAGCGUGUGUGUGUAUGUAUGUGUGUGUGUGUGUAUGUGUGU